rnacentral:tRNA from 2 species
GGGACCGUAGCGCAGCCCGGGAGCGCGAGCGGCUGAAGACCGCUGUGUCCGGGGUUCAAAUCCCCGCGGUCCCA